CUCUCUCUCUCUCUCUCUCUCUCUCUCUCUCUCAGUCUCUCACUCUCGGUCUCUGUCUCUCUCUCGCUCUCAUUCUGCUACCUCUGUUGUCCUCAUUUCUAUUAACCAUAACAGACUGUUGGAGUAGACUACUGUUAACUCUGGAAAGGCUUUUCCGCUGUAUUUUUUUUUUUUUUUGCGAUGGGGGUAGUGUGUAUACGUGUUGGCUGCAGAGGGGAGGAGCUGAGGAGUACAGUGGGGAGAGCAAAAUAAAUGAACAUACAACAAAAGCGAGCGAAGGGGGCCGUGACAUCACACACUGAGCUGUCCUGGACAAUGCCUGAGAUGAGAACGAGGGACGGCAAGCACAGCACUUGGCUAGGAAACUCUCUUUUUAUUUCUCUCUCUCAACACCUUUGGCCCAGGAAGAGGGCAAAGUACACCUUUUUGGCAGUCACACUGGAUUAUUUCGGUGACACUUCUCUCUCUUGGCCGACUGGCCGCCUGGGCUCUGAGCCCCUUUUCUCGCCACAGCUGAACAGGAUUCAUCACAGGAAAAACUUACUCUUCCAAGUCACUAUUUAACAUUCUUGCAAACUCAGCUUAUUGGGAUCCUAGCCAAAAAGAGGCCAAAAGUCCAGGACUGUGGACUGGCGGAUUCUCUUUCACCUACAAAAGUUGUACAUUUGGAUUGUUUUGUAAUUUUUUUCCAAAAGAUCUUUUCCCCGCCAAAAGAUUUCUUUCCAAAGUUAGAGCCUGUGAUGCUGCAGAUGUUCUAACCAAGAGAAAAUUUUUACUAUUAUGUCUAAGAGGGCAUGAACGUAAUAGGGAAAUUCACACAAAAAGCACAGGCAACGCCAGGGCAGCUAAAGACGCUGCAAUGACUUCUGUAGAAGGGGAACAGAGAGGCAUGUACUACCUGGGACGAAUGCCAAAUGCUGACAAAAGACUUCACUGCACUCCCUCUCUCUCUGGGAGAAAUCAUAGUUCUUAAUUCUAAGGGUGGCUUAAAUCACUGGCAUUAUCUCUUAAUGUGAACCUGCUCCUAGAACAGAAGCCAAAGCUUGUUUUCUUGGCAUCAUGGUCGUAGUGGGCAGGGAGAUAGGAGGGCAUGGCUGCAGAGUGUUACUGCUGGCUCGCCCUUGGGCCGAGUCGUUUUGCCGUCCUCCAGAAUUCAUACUCAGGUAUUUCCCACUUUUCCUUCAGUUUGGACACUGUUUUCCUGACAUUUAACUUUCUGCUCUCACAAGUGUUUCAUUUUUCUCCUUUUUGCGCUCAUUCUCGCUUCCUUUCAUCCUCGUUGUCCGCCUGCACACGUGUCUGCCUUCCCUCCGUCGCCAUUGCUACCAUAUCCACCAUUAUGAUGCGUUCCGAUUUAAGAAUUAUUCUCUAGUAACAUGCCAUACUGUUAGAAAUAUUCUAAUCGUAAUUAAGAAGUGAAGACUCUGCACCAUCUGAUACUGACUGCAACUUCAUCAGAUUUCAUCCAUGUCUGUAUUCAUGUAUUCACAGCAAGGCUGAGCUCAAUCAUUCCAUACAACUUGUUUGUAUGAUGGCGGUCAACAAAGCAAUUCACAAAGCUGAGGUAAAUUAACAUAUAUAGUUUACUGUAAAAGCGACAAAAUUCAUUUUGUGUGUAGUCUAAUAAAUUGCACUGCGGAGAUCUUAAAAACAAACAGUAAGUGGCUUUUCACUUACAAACAACAAUGCUGAUAGGAUAAAUGUAAAAAAAAAAGACAUUAUAUUAUAUAUAUACACACACACUAUGUAUUAUAUAACUAGUAACUAGUAUUGUA